UGAGUUGAGUCUGGUGUUAGCAGUUAAACAGGGUGAAGUUCAGUGAAAAAAAUUCGCCAUUCGAUUUUGCUUUAUAAUAAAAAAUGCGUCAUUUCAUUCAACCAAAAGUAAAGAUGUCCAUUUUUUUUUAAUAAUAAAAAAACAAUUUUUUUUAAUAGUAUUUGAUUGAGCAGCUAUAGAUAUAUGCCCGUCGGUUCUGAGGUUGUCACAACAAGUAACAAUUCAACCCAUCAAAAUGAGGCAUUGUUUUCAAACAACGGACAACUUUCGUUCAAUUCACGAGAAGAUUCAAAAAAAAAGCGGGAAUUAGAUGAAGCGAGAAAAUCUGGACUUAUUCCAGCUGAAAAGGACGAAGAGGGCAGAGACAUUAAUCCUCAUAUUCCCCAGUAUAUCGCGAAGGCUCCUUGGUAUUUAAGUCGUGGGCCUGCUCCUUCGUUAAAGCAUCAAAGAUUUCAAGCAGAACAGCAACGAAAUCCCCAAAGAUGGUAUACCCGUGGUGUCAUUCAAACAGACACUCCUUUGAAAUUUCGUCAAGGUGCUUGCUCGAAUUGCGGAGCGAUGACACAUGAUAAGAAAGAAUGUACUGAACGGCCUCGUUUGAAAGGAGCCAAGUGGUCGGGAGUCAACAUUUGUCCAGAUGAACUGAUUGUAAAAGAUAGUUCUGAGUUACAACUUGACUUUGAUGGGAAGCGUGAUCCAUAUGGAGGGUAUGACCCGGUCACAUAUCAUUUAGUUAUUCGUGAUUUUGAGCUCCUUGAUCAAGAGCGUAAAAGACGCAAAGUUUUAGAACUUCAGGAAAAGGCCAUGACACCGAAGGCAUUAUCUGUCACAAAUCCAGUUCCCGGUCAUAAUGACACUAGCCAUGAUGCAGAAGAGACAGAACGUCUUGAAGGCAACCCAGACGAUGAUGAUGAUGUGAAGGUAAAAGAAUUUGAUCAGACAAAUGCCCCGGUCGGAAUGAAGGACAAUCACACUAGGACAACCACUAUGAAUUUGCGUAUUCGAGAAGAUACUGCAAAAUACCUUUUUAAUUUGGAUGUCAAUUCGGCAUUUUACGAUCCGAAGACUCGAAGUAUGCGGGACAAUCCGAUGCGUCACCUGAAGGAAUCGGAACAAGGAAUUUAUAGAGGCGAUAAUGCUAUGCGUUACACUGAAGACAACAAAUGUGUCACUAAAAUGGAGAUUUUUUCUUGGGAAGCUUACAAACAUAAUGUUAAUGUUCAUGCUCAAGCCCAGCCUACUCAACUGGAGUUAAUGCAUAAAGAAUUUCACAGGAAACAACAGCAUUUAGCUGAUUUGAAGAAAAAGAAUUUACUUACAAUAUAUGGAGGCGCUGAACAUCUAGAUGUUCCACAAAGCCUUUUGUUAUCACAAUCUGAAGUUUAUCAUGAAUUCAAUCCAACAGAUGGCCGAGUUAAAACAAAAAAAAGCCAAAUAAUGAUAAAAUCGAAAUAUACGGAAGACGCAUUUUUUGGUGAACAUACAGCAGUUUGGGGAUCCUGGUAUAAUCAACAAGAUGAUUCUUGGGGUUAUGCUUGCUGUUAUGGCAAGGACAUCAAUUCUCCAGAGUGCUCUGGUGUAGUCUUUUAAAUUGGUUGAGGAAGCGAGUAUAUCUAUUUUUUAUAAUUGAUUCUUUCGGUAUUUGAGAAAGAAAUAGAGUUAAUAAUAAUUAUGCCAAUAAAAAAAAAUUACUCUUAAUUGAAAAGAAUAAUCUUAUUGUUUUCUAAUGUCCAUCCGAUGAUAUGAAUGGUUUUUAAGCCUUAUCAAGCUACUGGUUCAAAUAGAUCACUUUGAAGGUGUACGAAUACUUUUAGCAAACUUUACUUUGCAUCUAAAAAAAUUUUGGUUAAUAAAUACUAGAAUUUUUUUAAUACGGCAUUUUAAAGUGUUCUGAUUCUGUCUCGCAUGUAAUUUGAUCUUCAUUAAACCCCUUCAUGUUGUUUUCCACUGAAUUUUGUGGUCUUAUUAGAUUUAACUAAUUAAAACUUUUUUUUAAAAUAUUUUUUGUUGUAAACAUUUGGAAAAAAAAAUGUUACUACAAUGGUAUCGUGCAGAAGCUUAUUUCUUUAUGAAACAUUAUGCAACUAAAAACGUCGAAAGUACUACAUUGAAGAGGUAGAACCUAAUGAAACGUCGUUCAAUAGAAUGCCAAUUGUUACACUCACCCGGCUAGGUCGUUAUAAUUGUCACUAUGUCAAUUAUUGAAUCAUUACAAGCAUGGGUUAAAUUGUUACUUUUACAAUUACACUAAAAAAACUGCACUUUUUAGAUGGGGAGAGUGAGGUUUUGUU